GACGAACGCUGGCGGCGUGCUUAACACAUGCAAGUCGAACGGAAAGGCCCUGCUUUUGUGGGUUGCUCGAGUGGCGAAAGGGUGAGUAACACGUGAGUAACCUGCCCUUGACUUUGGGAUAACUUCAGGAAACUGGGGCUAAUACCGGAUAGGAGCUCCUGCUGCAUGGUGGGGGUUGGAAAGUUUCGGCGGUUGGGGAUGGACUCGCGGCUUAUCAGCUUGUUGGUGGGGUAGUGGCUUACCAAGGCUUUGACGGGUAGCCGGCCUGAGAGGGUGACCGGCGACAUUGGGACUGAGAUACGGCGCAGACUCCAACGGGAGGCAGCAGUGGGGAAUAUUGCACAAUGGGCGGAAGCCUGAUGCAGCAACGCCGCGUGCGGGAUGACGGCCUUCGGGUGGUAAACCGCUUUCGCCUGUGACGAAGCGUGAGUGACGGUAAUGGGUAAAGAAGCACCGGCUAACUACGUG
rnacentral:rRNA from 1 species